CCAAAACGCAGCUAUCCCUUUAUUUCUCAAAAAUCUGCAUAUCUCUAAAACACAAGCUUCUCUUUUUUUUCUCCAUCUUUAUACGAUUCUCUUCCUUCUCUCUUUACAAAUUUUCAUUUCUUCAUCUAAACAAUAAUCAGGUCGUGCUUGAGGUCUCCUAGUGACAAAAGUUUCUCUUUUCAUUGAUCAAGUUACUAUUUUGGAAGUGAUUUGUUGGCAGUGAUUAUGCGUGGGGGUAGCCAAAUUCGGUAAGAGGUCUUCGUUUGAUUUCGGCCUAAGAGGGAGGAGAUGCUUUUGUGGAGCAAACAUUGGAAGGAGAAGACCUAUUCGUUUAUGUUAAGAGUAAGACCGUUUGACCUUGUACGUUUUUAGGUAACCGCUUAGGACCGUUUAGUUUAUACGUUUAUCAUAUUACCGCUCGGUUUGUUCUUUCAGUUUGUAUCAGCGUAAAUUUUUCUGUAAAGUU